UACGUGGGGUGCAAGCGUUUGUUCGGAAUUACUGGGCGUAAAGCGCGUGUAGACGGCGCACUAAGUUCGAUGUGAAAGCCCUGGGCUCAACCCAGGAACUGCAUUGAAAACUGGUGUGCUUGAGUCCGGGAGGAGGUCGCGGAAUUCCUGGUGUAGAGGUGAAAUUCGUAGAUAUCAGGAGGAACACCGGUGGCGAAGGCGGCGACCUGGACCGGUACUGACGCUGAGACGCGAAAGCGUGGGGAGCAAACAGG
rnacentral:rRNA from 1 species